rnacentral:rRNA from 1 species
GAUGAACGCUGGCGGCGUGCCUAAUACAUGCAAGUCGAGCGAACCGAUGCGGAGCUUGCUCCUCUGACGUUAGCGGCGGACGGGUGAGUAACACGUGGAUAACCUACCUAUCAGACUGGGAUAACUUCGGGAAACCGGAGCUAAUACCGGAUAAUAUAUUGAACCGCAUGGUUCAAUAGUGAAAGACGGUUUUGCUGUCACUUAUAGAUGGAUCCGCGCCGCAUUAGCUAGUUGGUAAGGUAACGGCUUACCAAGGCAACGAUGCGUAGCCGACCUGAGAGGGUGAUCGGCCACACUGGAACUGAGACACGGUCCAGACUCCUACGGGAGGCAGCAGUAGGGAAUCUUCCGCAAUGGGCGAAAGCUUGACGGAGCAACGCCGCGUGGGUGAUUAAGGUCUUCGGAUCGUAAAACUCUGUUAUUAGGGAAGAACAAAUGUGUAAGUAACGAUGCACGUCUUGACGGUACCUAAUCAGAAAGCCACGGCUAACUACGUG